rnacentral:rRNA from 1 species
UACGUAGGGCGCAAGCGUUGUCCGGAUUCACUGGGUGUAAAGGGUGCGCAGGCGGACUGGCAAGUCAGGGGUGAAAUCUCACAGCUCAACUGUGAAACUGCCUUUGAUACUGCUGGUCUUGAGUCAGGGAGAGGUUGAUGGAAUUCCAGGUGUAGCGGUGAAAUGCGCAGAUAUCAGGAAGAACACCCGUGGCGAAGGCGGCUCUCUGGGACGGUACUGACGCUGAGACGCGAAAGCGUGGGGAGCGAACAGG